CCUGCGGAAGGAUCAUUAUCAAAACAGCGGACUUCGGUCCUUGCUGCACCCUUGUCUUUUGCGUACCGUAUGUUUCCUCGGCGGGCUUGCCUGCCGGUUGGACAUUAUCAAACCUUUUUGUAGUUGCAAUCAGCGUCAGAAAAUAAACAAUAAUUACAACUUUCAACAACGGAUCUCUUGGUUCUGGCAUCGAUGAAGAACGCAGCGAAAUGCGAAAAGUAGUGUGAAUUGCAGAAUUCAGUGAAUCAUCGAAUCUUUGAACGCACAUUGCGCCCCUUGGUAUUCCAUGGGGCAUGCCUGUUCGAGCGUCAUUUUGUACCCUCAAGCACUGCUUGGUGUUGGGCGUUUGUCCUGCAAAGGACUCGCCUGAAAGCGAUUGGCGGCCAACGUACUGGUGGUAGAGCGCAGCACAAUUUGCGUCUCUCCCUUCUACGUCGGCGUCCAUGAAGCCUUUUUUCAACGUUUGACCUCG
rnacentral:rRNA from 1 species